GUUUGAUCCUGGCUCAGAUUGAACGCUGGCGGCAUGCUUUACACAUGCAAGUCGAACGGCAGCACGGGGGCAACCCUGGUGGCGAGUGGCGAACGGGUGAGUAAUGCAUCGGAACGUACCCAGUCGUGUGGAUAACGCAGCGAAAGUUGUGCUAAUACCGCAUACGACCUGAGGGUGAAAGCGGGGGACCGUAAGGCCUCGCGCGAUUGGAGCGGCCGAUGUCUGAUUAGCUAGUUGGUGGGGUAAAGGCCCACCAAGGCGACGAUCAGUAGCGGGUCUGAGAGGAUGAUCCGCCACACUGGGACUGAGACACGGCCCAGACUCCUACGGGAGGCAGCAGUGGGGAAUUUUGGACAAUGGGGGCAACCCUGAUCCAGCCAUGCCGCGUGCGGGAAGAAGGCCUCGGUGUAACGCUUCGUACGAACGAAAAGUACGACGAUGGACGUAAUACUACUGUGUGG
rnacentral:rRNA from 1 species